rnacentral:rRNA from 1 species
UACAGAGGUCUCAAGCGUUGUUCGGAUUCAUUGGGCGUAAAGGGUGCGUAGGCGGCGCGGUAAGUCGGGUGUGAAAUUUCGAGGCUUAACUUCGAAACUGCAUUCGAUACUGCCGUGCUUGAGGACUUGGAGAGGAGACUGGAAUUUACGGUGUAGCGGUGAAAUGCGUAGAUAUCGUAAGGAAGACCAGUGGCGAAGGCGGGUCUCGUGGACAGUUCCUGACACUGAAGCACGAAGGCCAGGGGAGCAAACGGG